GGAAUAUACUGCAACAUCAAGUAUAAGAAGUGCAGUUUCUUUAGGUAGAACAUUCUCAGUGCCUUCUCCCUUCUGCUUAUUGUGUCAACACAAGGUACCAGUUUUUGGAAAACCUCCCAGACAAUUUUCUUAUGAGGAGCUAGAGGAAGCCACAGAAGGAUUCUCAGAUAUGAAUUUCUUAGCAGAAGGAGGCUUUGGCAAUGUUUACAGAGGGAUAUUAAGGGAUGGCCAGGU
rnacentral:misc_RNA from 1 species